AAGAAACUGCGUGUGUGAGUGUGAAAAACAAAUGGACUUAUCUCAUUUAGCAGAUCAAACAUUAGCAAUUUCGCGACUUUUCUGCCCAAAUACGACAGUACCUAGUUUGGCUAGUGAGCUUUUAAGUCACUUUUAGUAGACAUUCUGGGUUAGGAAAAGUGUCUGAAAGGUUCUGUACGAGUGCGGUUAAAAGUGUAAAGCAUUAUGAAGUAUGAGAUGGCUGAAAUUAGAAAACUUAUCACCUCGUGCCCUGAUUUUAAGCUCUUUAUCUUUUGUUGUCUUUUCCUAUUGAGUAUCAACUCAUUUCUGGCCAUCUACUUCACCUUUCAGACACUCAAAUCAGCUUAUUGAGCACCACGCUGUCAGUGAGGGAACUAUGGAAAAUUUUGCAUAAUCGUGGAAGCCGAGAGAGAAAUAAAAGUGAAUAAAAAAUGAAGUUAAAAAGAAAUGGCUGGUUAGCUUUUGUGGAAUGUUGCAAAUAAAAGUUGAAAAAAAGGGGAGAGUGAGGCUGCCAUGGACUGGAUUUUCGAACUUUCGGAAUUGUUUUUCUAUCACUUCAUCAAAUAAAUAAGUGAGGUUAGAUUGACUUACAUAAGCAGAGUCUGAGUUGGAUUAAUACAAAAUUUGAUCAAUAUCCGGGUCUAUUGACCGAAAAAUUCUGUCUCAGCUCGUGAUUUUAACCUUAAUCUUAACCUUAGCUGUCUAAAAAUAUUCUCCAAUUUCUGUAUCAAAACAGAUUUAGAAAAAUAAUCACAAAGCAUGGCGCCACUUUUACAGAGUGAAGAUAGCAAUAAAUCUAAAUUUUAUUACACUUUUAAGUGCUACUUAAAAAUAGAGAAAACUCAAUUUUCAUUAUCUAUAAGUUUAAUUCGUCCAAACUUAAAAAUUCAAAAAUAAAUCACCUAAAGUCUGAAGCCCAGCUCAACAAAAUUUCAUUAUUCGAGAUUUGAGUUACUCUUCAAUUUGAGAGCUGUAUAACUUCUUAAUGAAUUUAUAUAACAAAAUCCAACACUUGAAUCAAGAGACGUUUUCAAAACAGAUUAAAAUAACUUUCAAAAAGAAAUUUUGUAAAGUAUCAGCUUAAAGGCAAUUAUGGCUUCUCUUAGUUGUUUCAUUUAUUUUAAUGUUUUCUUAUUUCAAUUAAUAAUAUUUUUAAUUAUGAAAGGGACCCAAAAAAAUCUGGGUUGUUUUUAUCACCGGAUUAUUGAUUCAAAGACGUUUUUGGGUAUGUUCAAAACAGUUUUUGGAAUGGUUCAAAUACGGUUAGUGUGCUAUUUAAAUGAGACAAAAUAAACCGGAUGAACAAACUCCGUUAGGCAAUUUUAAAUUCAAAUGAUAGCUUUAGCAUUUUCCGUCAGAGAUCCUCAUCCAUCAGUCCAGUAUCAGACAUAGUAAAACGAUCUUCAAACUAAAAGUUUAGCCCAGUUCCCAAAGGUUAAAAACCGAAAAUAAUAAGCAAUUUUAUUGGUUUUACAAAAAAUAAUGGAUGUUUUAUCCUUAAUAUCCAAUUCUUCAUCAAUUUUUCUUAAAAAAAAACUCAUGAUUGAUAAUAAUUUAGAGAAGUUAAGCCAUACAGCUGGGAUAUAAGCCCUAGGUCUGACGCCGAUGUAAGAAAUAGUUAACCUAAGGUCUUUUAGUAAUCCCAAAUAUAGGUUCAUCCGGUUCACCGAAGAAUUAUCAUAUGAACUUUAUCCUCUCUCUCUCACUUCCCAAUUAUUUGUGUUCUGGAUCUUACAAAAACAGGAUAAAAGACCCUAUAAGAAUUUUUUAAACAGAAUUUUUACUUUGAAUCCAGAGCUUCAGCGUAUUUUUGGAAUUGACAAUAAGAAGACUUUUAAGUCUAUUUAAGUCUGUCUAUAUAUCCUGAAGAAGAAAUUAUAAAUAAAAAUUUGUAAA